UACGGAGACUACGAGCGUUACUCGGAUUCACUGGGCGUAAAGGGAGCGCAGGCGGGAUAGUGUGUUAGGUGUGAAAUGCCGGGGCUUAACUUCGGAGCUGCGCCUAAACUAUUAUUCUAGAGUGCUGGAGAGGUAAGCGGAAUUUCCGGUGUAGCGGUAAAUGCGCAGAUAUCGGAAGGAACACCGAAGGCGAAGGCAGCUUACUGGACAGAAACUGACGCUCAUGCUCGAAAGCGUGGGGAGCGAAAGGG
rnacentral:rRNA from 1 species